rnacentral:lncRNA from 1 species
AACUGGCUAUUGAAUAAUAAAGAGUGAAUAGCCCUGAACAAUUUAAGAAGCCCCAAGUUUCAAACAAAAAGAAAAACCCUAUAUAGUUUCCACUAUGAACCCUAGAACUCAGUCUUGAAAAGGUCAAUUUGAGCCAACGCCCUUUGGCUCAAGGAUGGAGUGGCAUUGGGCCCUUUCCACUUUUUCUAUGAUCUCCUUGUCCGACUUGCAUGCUUCAUGCUCAUGGGUAUAACCAUAAAUUUGACGAAUCAGAAAUCGAUGCUACUGCUAGUAUCGUCGACGAGCUUGCCACUAGUGUUACAUAUAAUGAUGGAAAAUCUUAGUUCAGUUCGUGCACUCUGAUGCUAGGUGAGUGGCGGCAAUUCCGACCAAUCAAAAACCAACUUGAUUGCCACCUUCUCUAGUAGCCAACAGUACGUGCUUGGCAGAUAUAUUCUUCUCUCCCAACUGGAAUAAGCAUCACUGAUUGAUUGGGCACCAUUGCCAUAAGGUUCCAAUCGAGGGAGUUGGGUGAGCUAUCAGGUGAGUUGCUCAUCAUGGAUCACAUAUCCAACUUUGCAUCUCCAUAUAAAAUAGCGGUCACCAUUAUCAUCUUUUGAGUAAUUCUGCCAAAAUUGCCUUGAUGGCCAUGCUUCUGACAUAAGUGACUCCAAUUCAACAAAAAUUACUCAAAAUUAAAUGGAAAAUGGGACACUAGAGGGCAUAUACUGAUAUCAAUUUGGAGAGGUAUCUCUGGUUGUAAACCAUAUCUGGAAAGGAAUUUGAGAAUUAUAGUGGGGCAAGGAGAAUAUGUACUGUUCUGGCAACACAAGAGGCUUGGUGAAUGUGCUUUGAAGCACCAAUAUCCAGCAAUAUAUGAUCAAUCAAUUCAGCAUAGUGAGUGACAUGUUGAAGGCACAGGAAGAGCUAAUGAGGUAGAGAUGGUGGCGGUAUUAGAAGUACUAAAGAUAUGGAGAUGGGUAUUGUGGUUGUUGUAGGAGACUCAAUAAAUGCUAUUAAAUGCUGUCAAACAUAAUAAAAAGUGCUUAGAACGAUUUUGUUUCAAAUACCUGAUUUUUGUGACAUGGUGGCUGUUUUAUUUGUACAUGUAUAUAUGGAUGCAAAUGGUAAGCUGAUG